rnacentral:rRNA from 1 species
GAAUUCGAUUCAGGCCUAACACAUGCAAGUCGAGGGGUAUAGUUCUUCGGAACUAGAGACCGGCGCACGGGUGCGUAACGCGUAUGCAAUCUACCUUUUACAGGGGGAUAGCCCAGAGAAAUUUGGAUUAAUACCCCAUAGUAUGUUGAAGUGGCAUCAUUUUAACAUUAAAGUUCCAACGGUAAAAGAUGAGCAUGCGUCCCAUUAGCUAGAUGGUAAGGUAACGGCUUACCAUGGCGACGAUGGGUAGGGGUCCUGAGAGGGAGAUCCCCCACACUGGUACUGAGACACGGACCAGACUCCUACGGGAGGCAGCAGUGAGGAAUAUUGGACAAUGGGCGCAAGCCUGAUCCAGCCAUGCCGCGUGCAGGAAGACGGUCCUAUGGAUUGUAAAGGUGCUUUUGUACAGGAAGAAACACUCCCUCGUGAGGGAGCUGACGGUG